rnacentral:rRNA from 1 species
GGGAUGAACGCUGGCGGCGUGCUUAACACAUGCAAGUCGAACGAUGAAGGCUGGAGCUUGCUCUGGCUGGAUUAGUGGCGAACGGGUGAGUAACACGUGAGUAACCUGCCCCAGACUCUGGGAUAAGCGCUGGAAACGGCGUCUAAUACCGGAUACGAGCUUCCACCGCAUGGUGAGGAGCUGGAAAGAUUUCGGUCUGGGAUGGACUCGCGGCCUAUCAGCUUGUUGGUGAGGUAAUGGCUCACCAAGGCGACGACGGGUAGCCGGCCUGAGAGGGUGACCGGCCACACUGGGACUGAGGCACGGCCCAGACUCCUACGGGAGGCAGCAGUGGGAAUUUUGGACAAUGGGGGAAACCUGAUCCAGCCAUCCCGCGUGUGCGAUGAAGGCCUUCGGUUGUAAAGCACUUUUGGCGAGGUAAGAAACGGUACGUACCCGUUAAGUACGGGCGUACGACUGACGGUACCUGCAGAAUAAGCACCGCUAACUACGU